GGGGAAAGCCAGGAAGGAGGUCUGGAUGCCAGGGACUCAGGAGUCCAGGAAUAUUCCACGAUGGGCUGGGCAAUAUACCUACCUUGGAUGUCACAAUCUGGCCAGGGAGAGAGGCCAUCACAAUAUGAGCUGCUCUAACCAACCAAGGCCCAGGCUCCCAGCUCCACACCUGUGAUCAGCUCCUUGAUCAGGCCUUUUGGGAUGAAAGCUCCAAGACUGAAAAAUAAAAAGGAAUUACUGUGUAAUU
rnacentral:lncRNA from 1 species